rnacentral:rRNA from 1 species
AUUGAACGCUGGCGGCAGGCCUAACACAUGCAAGUCGAACGAGUGGCGGACGGGUGAGUAAUGUCUGGGAAACUGCCCGAUGGAGGGGGAUAACUACUGGAAACGGUAGCUAAUACCGCAUACCAUCGGAUGUGCCCAGAUGGGAUUAGCUAGUGGGUGGGGUAACGGCUCACCUAGGCGACGAUCCCUAGCUGGGCUGAGAGGAGGACCAGCCAAACUGGAACUGAGACACGGUCCAGACGCCGACGGGAGGCAGCAGUGGGGAAUAUUGCACAAUGGGCGCAAUCCUGAUGCAGCCAUGCCGCGAGUAUGAAGAAGGCCUUCGGGUUGUAAAGUACUUUCAGCGAGGAGGCGUUAGUCGCAGAAGAAGCACCGGCUAACUCCGUGCCAGCAGCCGCGGUAAUUC